rnacentral:rRNA from 1 species
AUUAGUUUUUUAAUUGGAGGCUAGAAUGAAUGGUUGGACAAGAAAUAAUCUGUCUUAAGUUAACAUAUUGAAUUUAACUUUUAAGUGAAAAGGCUUAAAUAAUCUGAAGGGACGAUAAGACCCUAUAAAACUUUAUAUUAGGAAGUGAUAAGUAUAUUUUGUUUAAAGAAUUAUUACUUUAAAGUAUUUGGUUGGGGUGACAAAAAUAAAAAAAAAGUAACUGUUUUUUUUUUUAACAAUAAUGUUUGGGUUAGUGAUCCUAAAAUGGAUUAAAGAUUAAGUUACUUUAGGGAUAACAGCGUAAUUUUCUUUGAGAGUUCUUAUCGAUAAGAAAGUUUGCGACCUCGAUGUUGAAUUAAAGGUUCUUUAUGGAGUAGAGACUAUAAGAGAAAGUCUGUUCGACUUUUAAAACUUUACAUGAUUUGAGUUCA